CUGUGCAAUGUAAACAUUUUUAUGCCAUGCAACUUCUGUCCUUAUUGCGGCUGUAGAGUUACAGCAAAGGAAUUUUAUAUGUAUUUUGUAUAUGUAUAAUGUAUUGCCAAAAUUGUGGUACUAAAAUAUUACAAGGGGGAAGUUUUUGUCAUAAUUGUGGCCAUUCGGUUGCAAAAAAAGUGUAAUAACAUUAUCCAGUCUUAUAACAACUCUGGCACAUCUAACAAUCAAAGCCCUCCAGCAAGUGGCUCAACUUCCAUCAUUUUUAAUGACAGUAUGCCUCGUGACUUACGUCCUAUGACCCUUCAUGAAUUUCGAAAACAAAAAGAACAAGAUAGAUGCUCUAAAUUCUCAAUUUCUAAAACAAAAAAGAGGAGCAUUUCAACAGCAAAUAAAAAAGCUAGGUUAGCACAAGAAGUGAAAGUGCAAGUUGGUGUGGUUAGAGAAAGUGUUGAAGAUGGUAGAUUGAAAAAAAUCAAAGGAAGAACUAGUCCUGUAUUAUUUAAUGAAGACGACAAUGCCAAGGUAUUGCUCGAAAAGGCAGUUGAGAAGCAUGCAAGGCACUUUAAACAAUUUGACAGAGAUGAUACUUAUGUUAUUCUCUAUCAAGAUAUGACUCUUGUUAAAGAUUUACCAGGUAGUAACACACC